UUAAAAGUCAUUCAAAAGACAAUUUAAACAAGAGUACAAAUAACAAAAGACUUUAUGGAUUGCAACCUUAAACCUCUUAUGAACUAUGCCCACCAAAUAUGAAGAAUGUCCUUCCCUCAAUCUUUUUCUUGGUAGGCGGCAUGAAGUGGGUACUGUGGGACUGUACUGUGGCCACGAGGUGGCAGUGGCUCAAUUACUCUCAUUCUAAGGCUGCCUUUAAUUUCAGAAGCAUGAAAAUUACUGGAGGACUUGCAUUUGAUUGGUUAAGCAGCCAACAGAAAGGCUGUCUCCUGCGCUAGAGAAUGUGAACUUAAGAUACAGAAGGAGUUUCUCUGAAAAAAGAAGGUUGGAAUUAUCAUAAAUCGUCUCUAGGUUGAGAUACCAGGAUGGAGAAAAUGUUGGAGCGUGCAUUCAUAGUCUUGUGGCUUCAGUUUGGCUGGUUGAGUGGAGAAGACCAGGUGACGCAGAGUCCUGAGGCCCUGAGACUCCAGGAGGGAGACAGUAGCAGUCUCAACUGCAGUUACACAGUCAGCAAUUUAAGAGGGCUGCUCUGGUAUAGGCAAGAUCCUGGGAAAGGCCCUGAAUUCCUCUUCAUCCUGUAUUCAGCUGGGGAAGAAAAGCAGAAAGAAAGACUAAAAGCUACAUUAACAAAGAAGGAAAGCUUUCUGCACAUCACAGCCCCUAAACCUGAAGACUCAGCCACGUACCUCUGUGCUGUGCAGGCACAGUGUUCCCUAGGCACCUGCAACUUGUAUCAAAACUCUGCAGCUGGGGAUCUGGAAUGAGGGCAGAGGCAUCUCUGCUGUUCUUCCUCUUGAAGGAGUAUUUAUUUAGUGCUUAGGACCUUUUUCCACAUGGUCCUUUGGAGAACGAAGUCAUGAGACAUAGCCGAGGACAGACUAUUGCUCAUUCUGUCCAGUCAUCCCAAACAGUCCCUUGUGCAUGUUCGCGGGUCAGUCUCCU